ensembl:lncRNA
AUGGUGCAUGAAGUCAGACCCUCCCAAACUAGUGACUCCAAUGUUCCAGUGGGAAUGGCCAGUCACUUUACUGCUUCACUAGUGACAGAUGAACCAGCUGAAGGUCCUGGAUCGCCUGUGAUUCUCUGUCGAUCACACGGGCUUUUCCACUCUCCCUCAACAACCAGUCUACAGGGACGGUCUCAAUUUAAAAGAAGGGUGCAACCAGAUGAGGGUACACCUGUCAGAGAAAAGAGGAGGAGGAUCUCAGCUGAUGCAUACAUCCCAAUGGUGCAUGAAGUCAGACCGUCCCAAACUGUAAGUAAAAUAUAAUUACUAUAACUAUAUAUUUAUUUAUUUUCUUGUCUCAGGUUCAAAGAUCAAAGAGUUCACUAUAAUUUUAUUCAUA